GGGAAGAUGGCCGAGCGGUCAAUGGCAGCAGACUGUAAAUCUGCCCUCUCACGAGUUCGAAGGUUCAAAUCCUUCUCUUCCCACCA
rnacentral:tRNA from 2 species